UACAGAGGGGGCAAGCGUUGUUCGGAAUUACUGGGCGUAAAGGGCGCGUAGGCGGCCUUCUAAGUCGAACGUGAAAUCCCUGGGCUCAACCCAGGAACUGCGUCCGAUACUGGAAGGCUUGAAUCCGGGAGAGGGAUGCGGAAUUCCAGGUGUAGCGGUGAAAUGCGUAGAUAUCUGGAGGAACACCCAUUGCGAAGGCAGCUCGCUGGGACGUUACUGACGCUGAGACGCAAAAGCGUGGGGAGCAAACAGG
rnacentral:rRNA from 1 species